GUGGGGAAUCUUCCGCAAUGGGCGAAAGCCUGACGGAGCAACGCCGCGUGAGUGAAGAAGGCCUUUGGGUCGUAAAGCUCUGUCUUCAGGGAAGAAAAAAAUGACGGUACCUGAGGAGGAAGCCCCGGCUAACUACGUGCCAGCAGCCGCGGUAAUACGUAGGGGGCGAGCGUUGUCCGGAAUUACUGGGCGUAAAGGGCGUGUAGGCGGCUCGUGAAGUCAGGAGUGAAAACUCGGGGCUCAACCUCGAGAUUGCUUUUGAAACCAGCGGGCUUGAGUGCAGGAGAGGGAAGUGGAAUUCCCAGUGUAGCGGUGAAAUGCGUAGAUAUUGGGAGGAACACCAGUGGCGAAAGCGGCUUUCUGGCCUGCAACUGACGCUGAGGCGCGAAAGCGUGGGGAGCAAACAGGAUUAGAAACCCCAGUAGUCC
rnacentral:rRNA from 1 species